rnacentral:misc_RNA from 1 species
GAUGAAGAACGCAGCGAAAUGCGAUAAGUAGUGUGAAUUGCAGAAUUCAGUGAAUCAUCGAAUCUUUGAACGCACAUUGCGCCCCAUGGUAUUCCGUGGGGCAUGCCUGUUCGAGCGUCAUUUACCCCCUCAAGCUCCGCUUGGUGUUGGGCGUCUGUCCCGCUUCGCGCGCGGACUCGCCCCAAAGGUAUUGGCAGCGGACGUGCCAGCUUCUCGCGCAGCACAUUGCGCUUCUCGAGGCACCGGUGGGCCCGCGUCCAUCAAGCUCACCCCCCCAGUUUGACCUCGGAUCAGGUAGGGAUACCCGCUGAACUUAAGCAUAUCAAUAAGCGGAGGA